UACGUAGGGUGCGAGCGUUGUCCGGAAUUACUGGGCGUAAAGAGCUCGUAGGCGGCUCGUUGCGUCGGCUGUGAAAACCCACGGCUUAACCGUGGGCCUGCAGCCGAUACGGGCGAGCUAGAGUUCGGUAGGGGAGACUGGAAUUCCUGGUGUAGCGGUGAAAUGCGCAGAUAUCAGGAGGAACACCGGUGGCGAAGGCGGAUCUCUGGGCCUUACCUGACGCUCAGGUGCGAAAGCUAGGGGAGCGAACAGG
rnacentral:rRNA from 1 species